AUUGAACGCUGGCGGCAUGCUUUACACAUGCAAGUCCAACGGCAGCGCGGGCUUCGGCCUGGCGGCGAGUGGCGAACGGGUGAGUAAUACAUCGGAACGUGCCCAGUCGUGGGGGAUAGCUCGGCGAAAGCCGGAUUAAUACCGCAUACGACCUGAGGGUGAAAGCGGGGGAUCUUCGGACCUCGCGCUAUUGGAGCGGCCGAUGGCAGAUUAGCUAGUUGGUGGGGUAAAGGCCUACCAAGGCGACGAUCUGUAGCUGGUCUGAGAGGACGACCAGCCACACUGGGAGUGAGAAACGGCCCAGACUCCUACGGGAGGCAGCAGUGGGGAAUUUUGGACAAUGGGGGAAAGCCUGAUCCAGCAAUGCCGCGUGUGUGAUGAAGGCCUUCGGGUUGUAAAGCACUUUUGGCGGGAACGAAAAGGACUGUGCCAAUACCACGGUUCGAUGACGGUACCCGCAGAAUAAGCACCGGCUAACUACGUG
rnacentral:rRNA from 1 species